rnacentral:antisense_RNA from 1 species
AGAUCUUUGGAGCCAUUAAGGCAGAGCUGCAGGGCCUAGAGAUUGAGAUGCUGGGGACGCUUGAGGAAGCCGCUCCACUGUGAGAAUGUCGCCAGAGUGAAACCGAGACCUAGCCCACCUGGCACCUCUUCCUCCAACUCUUUACUGCCCUCUGUUGGAAAACCCGUGUAAUAUACAAAGGAGUCUCUGUGGCCACCACUGCUCCAGGCCCAUGGCGGGUACUGCCUGGCUACUGCUGAUGUUCACUCAAGGCCCAGGCCCUCUUCAGUCAGCUUGUGUUUUGCAGGUAAUUUGGAACUCUGGGACACCUCUCCAAACCUCUUCCACGUUUGCAAAAUCUUGCCUUUGCGGGGGUGGAGACUGGAUAAAGUGUACAAGGAAGCUCCCUGCAUUCUUUCUUACAUCUGCAUGUGAAUCUACAAUUACCUCAAAAAUUUUCCAAAGAAAACAUUCCAAGGACUCCGGGCUUGGAACUCUGAGAAGAGCGACUGAAUGAGGCCCUUCCAGCCCAGCUGAAUACAACUGAGUACAAAUAA